rnacentral:rRNA from 1 species
GCCGACAGCUUGCUGUUGGUGGAUGAGUGGCGAACGGGUGAGUAACACGUGAGUAACCUGCCCCUGAUUUCGGGAUAAGCCUGGGAAACUGGGUCUAAUACCGGAUACGACCACCCGACGCAUGUCGGGUGGUGGAAAGUUUUUCGAUCGGGGAUGGGCUCGCGGCCUAUCAGCUUGUUGGUGGGGUAAUGGCCUACCAAGGCGACGACGGGUAGCCGGCCUGAGAGGGCGACCGGCCACACUGGGACUGAGACACGGCCCAGACUCCUACGGGAGGCAGCAGUGGGGAAUAUUGCACAAUGGGGGAAACCCUGAUGCAGCGACGCAGCGUGCGGGAUGACGGCCUUCGGGUUGUAAACCGCUUUCAGCAGGGAAGAAGCGAAAGUGACGGUACCUGCAGAAGAAGUACCGGCUAACUACGUGCCAGCAGCCGCGGUAAUACGUAGGGUACGAGCGUUGUCCGGAAUUAUUGGGCGUAAAGAGCUCGUAGGUGGUUGGUCACGUCUGCUGUGGAAACGCAACGCUUAACGUUGCGCGUGCAGUGGGUACGGGCUGACUAGAGUGCAGUAGGGGAGUCUGGAAUUCCUGGUGUAGCGGUGAAAUGCGCAGAUAUCAGGAGGAACACCGGUGGCGAAGGCGGGACUCUGGGCUGUAACUGACACUGAGGAGCGAAAGCAUGGGGAGCGAACAGGAUUAGAUACCCUGGUAGUCCAUGCCGUAAACGUUGGGCA